CACAGCAAUACACUCACCAUCACUCCUAGGAUCACCACCACACAGAAAAAAUACACCACAACUCAUCAUCUCCUCCACAUAUACACAUACUAACAACACACACCAUUACAACAUACACACACCGACUGAAAUGGGUACACACAACAAAAUCCGGUGAGGCAGAAAAUAGGGGAUUUUGGGGGGAGGGAAGACAAUUACUCACAUACACAGAUAUCACUCUUCCAUUUUUUCAAUUGAAUUCAUGAAAAAUACACACAUCGUCACUCCCCAGCUCAGGGAGCUCUCAUCCUUCCACCUAAACAGUAUAUACACAUGCACACAACUAGGAAAAAGGGCGAGCAUCGGAGUGAGAAAGAUCGGAGAGAGAUAGUGAGAAUCGAGAGAGAGAGGAAGGAAAAUCGAUGCUUAUUGACUGUUUCCAAUGAGAAACUCGCCAGAAACCCGCCAUAUUAGCUGCCCAAAAACACCCUAGUCGCAGUCUUGCUGCUGUUACGGCAAAAUUCACCGGAUUUUAAUUUGGUGAAUCAACACUUCUCGCUCAAAAGAGAGAAAAGCCUGUUACAUAACUGAACUGGAGAGAAAAGUUAAGACACUAUCUAUAUAAAAAGGUUUGACGAUUAAAUUUGACCAUCAUUCACCAACAUCCUCAUCUAAUUUGGAGUCUGCUUGGGAGAUCAUUAUGGGUAGGGUAUGAUAGUGGCUUAGUAAAGUAAUUUUCCUAUUGAGACAAAUAAGCAUAAACUUAACUGCCAAUUCGUAAAGUAAUAUUCUAGUACAUAUUACUGUGGACAGAUUGAGAAGUUGGGGGAGAAGUACGGAUCCUAAAUGUGUGAUGAGAAGUUAGGGGAUAAGUAUGGAUUUUAAAUAUGUGAUGUGUCAAGAAACUGAUGAAACAGGGAACAUUUCUUUGUCUCUGUCCUUUUAUUGACUACCCCUGGAACCAAAUUUUGAUCAGAUUAUAAAGAACUCCAAUGAUAUUUACUAAUUGGGAACAGUACCUAAGAUGGACAAUAGCAAAUGCUAAGGGAAAAUCACGACAGGCUGCUAUAUUCAAAAUGGUCUUUGCAGAAGUAUCCUAUGCGAUAUGGAUUUAGUGAUGAAAAUAAACAAAUACAAGCAUACAAGCAUAGUUCAUCAAUGUCAAUAACAUAAAUUUUGGGCGAUUUGCUGCACAGUGGCAAGGCCAAAUUGUUGGAUUGGCCGUUGAGGUUCAAGAUAGCUUUAGAUGCAACUGAGGGACUUUCGUAUUUGCACCAUGAUUGUGUUCCUCAAAUAGUUCACCGUGAUUGUCAACUAACAUAUUGCAGGAUGAUGAAUUUGGAGCCAAAAUUUCAGAUUUUGGUGUGGCAAAAGUUGUUAAAGCAACCAUCAAAGGUGGUAUCGUAUCCAUGCCUGUUAUCGCUGGUUCUUAUGGUUACAUUGCACCAGAGCAUGCAUAUACACUUCAUGUGAAUGAAAAAAGUGAUAUAUAUAGCUUUGGAGUGGUCAUUUUGGAGCUGGUCACAGGCAAAAGACCAGUAGGUCCAGAACUCGGGGAGAAAGAUCUAGCUACUUGGGUACGCACAACCUUGAACGAGAAAGGAGUUGAUCAGUUGCUAUACCAAGAUCUAAAUUGCAGCAUCAAAGAACAUAUAUGCAAGGUUCUUGACUUUGGUAUACGCUUUCUUAACCAUUUUCGAGCUAAUCGCCUUUCAAUACUCAGAGUGGUGACAAUGGUCCAAGAAUUUGUUCCUUAUAAUGUACCAGAGAUGGAAAACAAGAAUGUUAAGAUGGUACUACUACUUCUCCUAUAUGAUUAUCACUUGGCUCUUUAGGGCUAGCAGUUUAAUUUCUCUGAUUAAUGUAACAGCUUCUAAAGGGGUGGAGUUUUUCUAUAAUUGUUGUAAGGAUUUCCUAAUCAACUUUCUUUUCUGAAGUACCGCUAAAACAAACCCCUUCUGUCUUUA